rnacentral:rRNA from 1 species
ACGGGUGAGUAACACGUAUGCAAUCCACCUGUAACAGGGGGAUAACCCGGAGAAAUCCGGACUAAUACCCCAUAAUAUGAGCGCUCCGCAUGGAGAGCCCAUUAAAGAGAGCAAUUUUGGUUACAGACGAGCAUGCGCUCCAUUAGCCAGUUGGCGGGGUAACGGCCCACCAAAGCGACGAUGGAUAGGGGUUCUGAGAGGAAGGUCCCCCACAUUGGAACUGAGACACGGUCCAA